AUGGGAUUGGGGCUGCACUGGGUUUUUUUGGUUGUUCUUUUAAAAGGUGUUCAUUGUGAGGUUCAGCUGGUUGAGUCUGGUGGAGGAUUGUUGCAGCCUGAGGGGUCAUUGAAACUCUCCUGUGCAGCCUCUGGAUUCACCUUCAGUGACUAUGCAAUGUCCUGGGUCCGCCAGGCUCCAGGGAAGGGUCUUGAAUGGGUUGCUGCCAUAGACCCUAAAAGUUAUAAUUAUGCAACUUUCUAUGCUGAUUCGGUGAAAGGAAGAUUCACCAUCUCCAGAGAUGAUUCCCAAAGCAUGGUUUACCUGCAGAUGAACAAUCUUAAAACUGAGGACACAGCCACUUAUUACUGUGUAAGACACAGUGAGGAGUCUUCAGUGUGA